UCUUUUUACUUUCCCUGCCACACAUCCCAUGGACUCUUUUUUUUUUUUUUUUUUAACUUGGUAAUUACCCAAGACAAUAAUCUUGGAAAAAUAGAAAAGCAAAAAAACAUGCCCUAGCUAGCUAGGGUUUUUGGGAUUGCCAACUACUCACUAGCCCCCAUCACAGGUCCAAUAUCUAUCACCACAUCCCUCAUCCAAACCUAGAGAGAGAGAGAGAGAGAGAGAGAGAGAGAGAGAGAGGAUCAUGGGUAUUCUCAUAAUCAUGAUAAUUCUCCAUGUUGAUUAGAGGCACAAUUUUUGUGGCUGUAGUAGUAGUAGUAGUACUGCUACUACUACUACAACCAAAACCACCUUGGAUUUAUCUCUCCUUCCUCUUCAAACCUCAUGAUCAUCUCCUCCUAUCAACCCCCAUCAUCAUCAUCACCACCACCACCACCACCCACACAUCCCAUGUGUACUCCUCAUGGGUUUCUCCAUCCUCAUCAUUACCAUGCUACUAAUUCCAAAGGAGAUGUUGAAGAGGAGAGAGAGAAAGACCUAGAAAGAGAUGAAGAGACAAUUUAAGGAGGUGGUGUAGGAGGGGAGAGAGAGAGAGAGAGAGAGAGAGAUGUAUAUAUAGAGAGAGAGAGAGAGACAGAAGAUGAUGGUGGCCUUGUGAGGAGAACCUGGGAUUCUUGUCACUAUGUUCAAGUCAAAGAGGGCAUCAUCAAAACUACUCUUCACUCCUUCUGUGUACUACUUCUCGUGGGGAAUCAAGCCGUUUUGGUCCGAUCCAUACUUUGCUAUAUGCUAGCUAGCUACUUAUAUAUAUAUAUAUAACAAGUAGUUGUUAUUCCACUAUCUAUCUCCUAUGCAUCUGUUUUCUAUGGUUGGUAUCUUUAAUUUUUGUUUCUUUCCUUUAUUUCCAUUCUACUUGGACUUGUCAUGUCCCUAUUGAUCUUGUUUAUUUGAACAAGCUUUGUGUUGUGUUGUUGUUUGUGGGUUUUAUUCUUUUGGAGUUUUAAUUAGUUUGAUGAUUAUCAAAGACAUAUAUAUAUAUGUGUGUGUGUGAAUGGUUUAUUUGCUUUGCCUUUUUGUUUUCCUAUGAAUUGAUUACUUGGUUUCUUUUGGUUACUAAAAUUAGCUGAGAUAGAUAGAUAGAUAGAUAGAUGGAGAGAGAGAGAGAGAUCCUUUGCUAGAAACUCAGCAUUAAGUUAUUGCAAGUAUGAGAAGAACCACUAAUACAUGUAGCUAGAGCACUCUCAUGAGUCAUUUUUGUUUUCCUCAACAUAUAUUGCAUGCAUUUCUAUUGAGAGAGUGAUUAUCUACAAUUAUAUAUAAGGUCCUAUAUCUUUGUAUAUAGAUAUGUCCAAAUCUGUUGGGUUUCUAAAUAUGUGAGAGAGCAUGAGUGCAUAACAUGUAACAUGUAACAUGUAACAUGUAACAUGUAAAAGUGAAAGGCUCGACAAUUGUAAUGAUAACAUGGGUCAUAGCUCAAAAAUUGAUAACUUGUCCUGAUCUCCACUCUCAUGUGUCCUCUUUGGCUUAAUUAUUCUGCAACUUGCUUUUCCAAUGCAACCAACUGAUCCUGCUGGAAAACCCCACUUACCUCUUUGCAUGCCUUGAAAGAAACAUUUGACAUUGGUCCUCUGAUCAUGCUGUGGAUGAGAAGGCUCAGAUACGUCACAUGCUUGAAGUAAAGUAAUGGAUCAGAGAAAGAAAACAUGACUCAUCCUAUGCCCAAGCACAGGAUUUACAGUGGCUCCGAAGUGGGUUAUUAAUAGGAUUGAGGCCCUAAAACGAAAUUUCUUCUGGAAAGGGGGAAUGGAUGACAAGAGAGGUACACGUAUGGUGGCAUGGAAUUGUGUGUCCAGAGAAAAGAAUGAAGGAGGACUCUGGCGAAGGACCUCACCAUGAUGGAUGAUGCACUACUUUCGAAAUGGUGGUGGCAUUUUUUUAUCAAAGCAGGGCCUACAGUGGAGCAUUCUUAUUGGAACUCUAUAUUACAAGAGGAGGAAACCUUUAAGUGAAGGAAGAACGUUUUGACUUGUUUCACAAUGGUGGAAGAGUGUGCUUUCUACUAAAGAGAUUUUUAAAAGUGGCACAUGCUUUGAUCUCAGUGAUGGGCGGUCUAUUGACUUUUGGUCUGAUAGAUGGUGUGGUGACGCUCCUUUGAAAAUGCUAUUUUUUCGAUAUUUAUGAGAAAGUAGCUCAGAAGGGACUUUUAAUCAAGAAGUGUUGCUCCCUACAAGGUUGGAGAUGGAGAAAAAUCCUACGAGGAGCAGGGGUUGGGUUGUCGAGGGGUGAUUGCCGAAUUAGAGAAUUCAAGGAGUUUCUCUCAAGUUUCAACGUAGCAGACAGGCCGGAUGAAAUUCAAUGGAGAUGGCAUGCUGGAAAGCGUUUUACCGUUAAGUCUAUGUAUGUAUUGAUUCGAGAUGGGGGAAUACGAGAUUUUUUUUCGCUGAAGGUUUGGGAGUUGAAAAUACCAUCUAAAGUUAGAAUUUUUAUUUGGUUAGCACUUAAGAAGCACCUACCUACGUUUGACAACUUACUCAAAAGAGGCUGGUCCGGGAAUCAACAGCGUAUGAUAUGCAGCAACGAUGUUGAGACUGUUGAUCAUCUGCCUGUUGGAUGUGUAAUCAGCAGAUUUUUAAUAUUCAAUAUCCUAGAAGGUAGGCACAUCCUGUGGCCUGGGAUGGAUGUCAGGCGUGUUUGGGAACUUCUGGUUGGGGACCACCCCCGAGGGGCAACAGUGAGGGAUCUAAUCAGAGUCGCAAUCUGUUGGUGGAUGAUCUGGCAAAAAAGAAACGACAUAAUUUUUAGGAACUAAUCAUUUGACCUUUUUGUAACAAUUAAACGAAUCUGAGAAGUGAGCCAAAAAUGGGUUGAGUUUUGCAGCUUUUA